rnacentral:rRNA from 1 species
UGGGGAAUAUUGGACAAUGGGGGGAACCCUGAUCCAGCCAUGCCGCGUGUGUGAAGAAGGCCUUAUGGUUGUAAAGCACUUUAAGCGAGGAGGAGGCUCUCUUGGUUAAUACCCAAGAAGAGUGGACGUUACUCGCAGAAUAAGCACCGGCUAACUCUGUGCCAGCAGCCGCGGUAAUACAGAGGGUGCGAGCGUUAAUCGGAUUUACUGGGCGUAAAGCGUGCGUAGGCGGCUUUUUAAGUCGGAUGUGAAAUCCCCGGGCUUAAAUUGGGAAUUGCAUUCGAUACUGGGAAGCUAGAGUAUGGGAGAGGAUGGUAGAAUUCCAGGUGUAGCGGUGAAAUGCGUAGAGAUCUGGAGGAAUGCCGAUGGCGACGGCAGCCAUCUGGCCUAAUACUGACGCUGAGGUACGAAAGCAUGGGGAGCAAACAGG